GUUAGGAAUAUUGGACAAUGGGCGAAAGCCUGAUCCAGCCAUGCCGCGUGAACGAUGAAGGCCUUCGGGUUGUAAAGUUCUUUAGCCGAUGAUUAUAAUGACUGUAGUCGGAAAAUAAGCCCCGGCUAACUUCGUGCCAGCAGCCGCGGUAAUACGAAGGGGGCGAGCGUUAUUCGGAAUCACUGGGCGUAAAGCGUGCGUAGGCGGUUUUGUAAGUUGGGAGUGAAAGCCCAGGGCUCAACCUUGGAAUUGCUCUUAAAACUGCAAGGCUCGAAUCUCGGAGAGGAUAGCGGAAUUUCCAGUGUAGCAGUGAAAUGCGUAGAUAUUGGAAGGAACACCAGUGGCGUAAGCGGCUAUCUGGACGAGUAUUGACGCUGAGGCACGAAAGCGUGGGGAUCAAACAGGAUUAGAUACCCGAGUAGUCC
rnacentral:rRNA from 1 species